GGGGCAGUAGCUCAGUUGGGAGAGCGCCUGCUUUGCAAGCAGGAGGUCGCCGGUUCGAACCCGGUCUGCUCCA
rnacentral:tRNA from 1 species